GUAGGGGCCAAGCGUUGUCCGGAUUUAUUGGGCGUAAAGAGCUCGUAGGCGGUUGGGUAAGUCGGGUGUGAAAACUCCAGGCUCAACUUGGAGACGCCACCCGAUACUGCUCUGACUUGAGUUCGGUAGGGGAGUGGGGAAUUCCUGGUGUAGCGGUGAAAUGCGCAGAUAUCAGGAGGAACACCGGUGGCGAAGGCGCCACUCUGGGCCGAAACUGACGCUGAGGAGCGAAAGCGUGGGUAGCAAACAGGAUUAGAUACCCUGGUAGUCCACGCCGUAAACGUUGGGCACUAGGUGUGGGCCCUAACCAACGGGGUCCGUGCCGUAGCUAACGCAUUAAGUGCCCCGCCUGGGGAGUACGGCCGCAAGGUUA
rnacentral:rRNA from 1 species